UUUCUAUCUUUUCCUAUUAAAAAAUAAUUAAGAGUAUUUGGCAUUAUAUGAAGAAUCGAUUCCUCUUGUCCCUCAUGGAAACAAAGCAAGUUGUAAUGAAUUGGAGACUAACAAAAAUCCAAAAAUGAAAUAACAAAUCAUUUGGAUCUCAAUAAAAGAGUUGCAUUAUUUUAUUUGAAAAUUAAAAAGGAAGAGGGUGAAUCUGAAUCUAUCGAUUUCCACAGCAAAUCCAAACACAAAAAGAAGAGAAAUGCAGCUAUCUUUAUCCAUAUUUUGUCUCUUCCUUUCUAUUUCUCCAUAGAUUUUGUUGUUUUCUAUUCAAUAAUCAAAAUUUCUUGUCUAUUCUAUGCCUCUAUCUUCCUUCAAAUCCAAAGUCAUAGGCUAAUUAUUUUCUAUUGAAAAAUUCGUUUACCAAUCAAAACGGUGGGCAUCAAAAGUAGUGGUUUUACCUUUCAAAAUAGUAAUUUUUUCUAAUUAUAUAAAUAUAUAUAGAGAGAUAUAUGUGUGGAAGAGAUUAAUCUUAUGGAAUCAUUUGAUGGGGGAAAAAAUAAAGUGUAUGCAAAAAUAAGAUAAAAAUAAAGGUUGGAGAAGUAGAGAGUACACUGACCUCAAGAUACAUAUCAAUGGCUUUGUAAACUCCAUCGAAGCAAUCUCUAGCAGAAUCUGGUAAACUCUCUGCAACUCCAAGAAAUUUUGAGGUCUUGAGGUUGGGAUCAGGAGAUAUUUCACUUAAAUAUUUAUCAAUCAAUUUACCAACUUUCUUCAUCCUUUGAAUGCUCACCAUUUCACCAUUAACAAAUAUUCUUAUCAAUCUUAUAACCAGAUUAACGUCAUAAAUUCCACUCCUCUCAUGCCCAGAUAUCAGCAGAUCAUCCAAUGUUGCUUCGUCAAGAAUGUUGCCUAUCACCUUCUCCAACUUAGCUCUGCAAUCUUUGCUCACACCAAAUCUUGACACACUCCUCAGUAUCAGCAGCAGUCCUCUGCAAGAAAAUUCACUUUUCCCGGCCAAUAUCACCCCAUGAACAGCUGUGUCUGCAAGACCACCAUAGUCGGAUCUUGAGCACACAGCUUUGCGCGGAACUCUGUUUUUCAGGUAAUGGAGGAUGAAUCUUGUGAUGAUCAAGCUGUUGUUAUGAAUCCCAUAUGCCUCCCAAUUCUUGAUGAAACUUUCAAUUAUUACAGGAGAUAAUAAGGCUAAGUCAUUGAACCACCACUGGUUGCCUGAGGAUGAAAACGGUUUUCUCGACUCGGGAGUGGUUUUGGAAGAGGAGAGUCUGAACCCAGAUGCAGUUUCUGGAGAAGAAGACGAAGACGAAGAAGAAGCAAUCAGGUUUGUAUCAGAAUGUUGAGUAAUCUUUGCUAAUAAGCCAUAGAUGAGCUUCUGGACAAGGCCUGAUGAAUCUGCAUAUGUGAAAAAGCACUCACAGCUCUUGAGACUUGCGAGUAUAUCAUUCCAUGACCAGUCAAAAAUUCCUUCAAGAAAGAUCUCUGUCUGUUUCAAGAGAUUGCAAUUUGAGACUUUAUCU
rnacentral:lncRNA from 1 species